UGCCUAAUACAUGCAAGUCGGACGAGACAGUGGGCCAACCCAUAAGUAAAGUGGCAAACGGGUGAGUAAUACAUAGGUAACCUACCUCCAAGAUGGGGAUACCCUUCCGAAAGGAGGGCUAAUACCGAAUGAGACCACGGCUACACAUGUCGCUGUGGCCAAAGGUGGCCUCUACUUGUAAGCUAUUGCUUGGAGAUGGGCUUAUGCACCAUCAGCUAGUUGGUGAGGUAACGGCUCACCAAGGCUAAGAUGUCUAGCGGGUGUGAGAGCACGACCCGCGCCACUGGCACUGAGACACUGCCCAGACUCCUACGGGAGGCUCCAGUCGAGGAUCUUCGGCAAUGGGCGAAAGCCUGCCCGAGGACGCCGCGUGUGCGAUGAAGGCCUUCGGGUUGUAAAGCAC
rnacentral:rRNA from 1 species